ensembl:lncRNA
GGCUUAUUGGAGAUUCUUUCCUGCCUGAGGUCUUUCAAAGAGCAAUACUACAAAGAGGGCAAGAGUGCAGCACAAGCCCAGCAGUGAAGUAGCUGGACAUUUUCUGGACAACAGCACCCACAAAACCUUAUUCAGCUACUUUCAAGUUUAUAGUGAUUGUGAGGUAAAGAAGACAACAGGAGAGAUGAAAAACAGCAGUAUUACCACUGCAGCUCUGUGCAUUAAUUGCUGCAGGAGGGUAUGCAAAGGGAGCAAGGCCAGUCUUUAUUGACAGCUUCCUGGAAGAAAAGCAAAUAGAAUGGAGCAGAAGCUCAGAGAGAGCAUGCAUCUAGGCCAGCCCCAGAUUCCCAGGAGAAGGCACAAGCAUUAAAUCAGUGUCAGCUUUGGAAAAGUCCUGUCACCUUUCUCUUGCAAGGAUAAAUGAUUUCAACUGGUGAUACAGAAUUCUGCUAACCCUGGAGUUUGGUAUGGAGGUCAAUGACUGAAAUAUACAGAGAAGCCUGGCAGGUGGAUUGUAUCACACUCAUACAAACUCUCCAUGGUAUACGCCAUGUGCUUACAAUGACAAAAGCAAUGACCAGAUGGCUGGAGACAUGUCUUGUGUCCCAUGCCACAGUCCAAAAUGCUAUCCUGGGCCUUGAAAAGCAAAUCCUGUGGCAACAUAGAGAGAUUCUCUAUCUGAAGGUGCAAGUGGUGGCAGAAAUAUCCUGGGGUUUUAAUCUGCUCUUGUACCUUCCCCUCUGUCACUUGGGCCUACAGCACACACUAAUGCAUUUUAGCUUGAUGACUUGUUAGUUGAUAUUACUGUGUUGGGAGAAGGACUCCUCUGAGUAUUUUUUCCUGUAUGAGAGAAAAUUCCCUGAGUUCUCCUUCAGGAAAGAAUUUUGCUUCAAACAAAAAUUAAAAAACAUGACCAAAACUUGAACCUUUGGUUUAAGUGAAGCUGAAUUUCUAAAUUACCUAUGCUAGGUUUAUGGCAGAUGUAAGAAAUAGGACUAAGUCACAAAUUAAAACUUUCUGUUCACAGAAAAUUUGUAAAUCAAAAUCAAGUUGGCUUUGCACACUAAGAAUUGUUACACUAAACAUAAUGUACUUCCACGUAGCCUUUCUUCUAUUGAUAGGCUGUUGCAGGAUAUUCUGAAGUAUACUAGGAAUUUAGGAAAUAAGUAAACUCAAGUUUAUUUCAGUAUAUCAUUUGGUUAUACUCUUUACUAAUAUAAUCUGGAGAAAACUGUUUGCACUAUCAUUUUUCAAGAUGAAAUUUGAAUGCAUUAUAGUAAAAAAAUAUACUAGCAUAAUUUUAUAGAAGAUAAUUUUUAUAGCUAAUUUUUAUGAAUUCUGAAUGUACUAAUCAUUAGUCAAAUCACAUAACACAUAAUAAGAGCUUUUAAAGGACUUGAAGUCAAAAGUUUCUGAACAUUUUAAUCAGCUAACCCUCAUAAUAUAAUUGUCAGCCAUGUGUUAUUGACCUUAGUGUAAAAACCUAAUAUUUAAUACUGUAGUGAAAGUAAGUGACUUAGGGUCUCACAGCAUAGUCAAAAGAGAUCUCCAUGAUUCGCUGAUGCUAAAGAACAGGUAGUUCUGUGCAUCGGAGGAUUGUAAAGUCUUCCCAUGAACAGCACAGGGAGAAAAUAAAUAUUAAUGAGAUUACAUCCAGCUUCCUAGUGAACAGAAAUAUUCCCAGAUUCCCUGGCAUGUCUUCUGACAAAUUCUAGACCAUACAGACAAUUCACUGAAACUGGGUUGAUAAUGGCUACAGCUUCUGACCUUGAACUCAGCAUGGAAACAGUUUCUUUUUAUGUGAACUUCACGAUUGCUGUCUUAAGCAUUCUCUGGAAAAACACAAGCUGUCAAAAUUCAGUCACUCUCUGUUCACUAUCUGCAUAAGAAACAAUCUCCAUUUGUCAGUAGAAAUUAAGACAUUGAUUUUCUGUGACUGCAAAAAGAAGCUGGUAUUUCAUUCAGUGAUUGCUCUGUAGUAGUUUAAUAUACUUAAUCUGAUGACUAUUAAAUUGUAC